rnacentral:rRNA from 1 species
AGCUUGCUCUUGAUGACGAGUGGCGCACGGGUGAGUAACGCGUAUGCAAUCUACCUAUAACUGAGGAAUAGCCCAGAGAAAUUUGGAUUAAUACCUCAUAAUAUUAUUAUUUGGCAUCAUUUAAUAAUUAAAACUCCGGUGGUUAUAGAUGAGCAUGCGUUCUAUUAGCUAGUUGGUGAGGUAAGAGCUCACCAAGGCUACGAUAGAUAGGGGGCCUGAAAGGGUGAUCCCCCACACUGGUACUGAGACACGGACCAGACUCCUACGGGAGGCAGCAGUGAGGAAUAUUGCACAAUGGAGGAAACUCUGAUGCAGCCAUGCCGCGUGCAGGAUGAAGGCCCUAUGGGUUGUAAACUGCUUUUUUACAAGAAGAAACCUUGGUACGUGUACCAACUUGACGGUAUUGUAAGAAUAAGCACCGGCUAACUCCGUGCCAGCAGCCGCGGUAAUACGGAGGGUGCAAGCGUUAUCCGGAUUUAUUAGGUUUAAAGGGUUCGCAGGCGGAAUUUUAAGUCAGUGGUGAAA